UGGCUCAGAUUGAACGCUGGCGGCAGGCUUAACACAUGCAAGUCGAGCGGGGGAAGGUAGCUUGCUACUGGACCUAGCGGCGGACGGGUGAGUAAUGCUUAGGAAUCUGCCUAUUAGUGGGGGACAACAUCUCGAAAGGGAUGCUAAUACCGCAUACGUCCUACGGGAGAAAGCAGGGGAUCUUCGGACCUUGCGCUAAUAGAUGAGCCUAAGUCGGAUUAGCUAGUUGGUGGGGUAAAGGCCUACCAAGGCGACGAUCUGUAGCGGGUCUGAGAGGAUGAUCCGCCACACUGGGACUGAGACACGGCCCAGACUCCUACGGGAGGCAGCAGUGGGGAAUAUUGGACAAUGGGGGGAACCCUGAUCCAGCCAUGCCGCGUGUGUGAAGAAGGCCUUAUGGUUGUAAAGCACUUUAAGCGAGGAGGAGGCUACUUUAGUUAAUACCUAGAGAUAGUGGACGUUACUCGCAGAAUAAGCACCGGCUAACUCUGUGCCAGCAGCCGCGGUAAUACAGAGGGUGCGAGCGUUAAUCGGAUUUACUGGGCGUAAAGCGUGCGUAGGCGGCUUAUUAAGUCGGAUGUGAAAUCCCCGAGCUUAACUUGGGAAAUUGCAUUCGAUACUGGUGAGCUAGAGUAUGGGAGAGGAUGGUAGAAUUCCAGGUGUAGCGGUGAAAUGCGUAGAGAUCUGGAGGAAUACCGAUGGCGAAGGCAGCCAUCUGGCCUAAUACUGACGCUGAGGUACGAAAGCAUGGGGAGCAAACAGGAUUAGAUACCCUGGUAGUCCAUGCCGUAAACGAUGUCUACUAGCCGUUGGGGCCUUUGAGGCUUUAGUGGCGCAGCUAACGC
rnacentral:rRNA from 1 species